GACAAACGAGUUACUGUACAGGUUCUCAAUUUUAAGUUCAAUGAGCAGACAUUCUUGUAAGAUCUGUUCUUUGAAUUCAUUUUUCUCGAAGUUGUCUCGUCGACGCUAAAAAUUUUGAUUGCUUUUUUACCCGUUAGUUAGUUCCAAGAAAACGUUCAUAUACUCUGACAACUUUAUAAUGAUUACUUUACUUCCUUUGCAGCCGUGGAGAGCAAGAUAGGUAAUUAUUGUUUGUAAACUGCUGGGAGAAGUAAACGCAAUUUAAUUUCUGGAUUUGUUGACAUUUGAGAUUCUGCAUUGGAGACAUUUUUGUCUUAGGAUUUUUUUUGGUUAUUUUUUUUAUAUUUUGGAGUGCUUUCAUAUAUUUUUAGUAGUUUCUUACAUCAAAAAUUUAUUACAUUAUUUAAACUCGUAUAAAAAAACUACACUGAAAUAGAACAACCAACAAAAAUCAAUUUUCUAUAAAAAUUACGUGAUCUUAGCUAGUGAAACCACCAUCUUGUUU
rnacentral:lncRNA from 1 species